AAACUGUUGCAGUAGUACAUUAAAGUAAAUAAGUUCAAAAGGGGCGUAACUCCUAGAAAAAAAAUUGAAUCGCAAUUUUCCGUCGAUAUGCACAACUACAUAGUAUGUCCUUAUUAUCUGAAAAGGUUUCGUGAAAUUCUGUUGUUGUGGUUUGAGAGGAGUUGCGAUGACAAACUGUUGCAGUAGUACAUUAAAGUAAAUAAGUUCAAAGGGGCGUAACUCCUAGAAAAAAAAUUGAAUCGCAAUUUCCGUCGAUAUGCACAACUACAUAGUAUAUGUCCUUAUUAUCUGAAAAGGUUUUCGUGAAAUUCUGUUGUGUGGUUUGAGAGGAGUUGCGAUGACAAACUGUUGUCAGUAGUACAUUAAAGUAAAUAAGUUUCAAAGGGGCGUAACUCCUAGAAAAAAAAUUGAAUCGCAAUUUCCCGUCGAUAUGCACAACUACAUAGUAAUUAUUCUGAAAGGUUUCGUGAAAUUCUGUUGUGUGGUUUGAGAGGAGUUGCGAUGACAAGAAACAGGACUGACGGACUGACGGACGGACGGACGGAUGGACGGACGGGUCAAAAACAUUAUACCCUCCGCAACUUCGUUGCGUGGGGUAUAAUAA
rnacentral:lncRNA from 1 species